GACAACGUGGCCGAGCGGUUAAGGCGAUUGACUAGAAUCAUUCUAAGACCUGUGUCUACUAUCAAUUGGAGUUUCUCCGCGUAGGUUCAAAUCCUGCCGUUGUCG
rnacentral:tRNA from 1 species